rnacentral:lncRNA from 1 species
AAAUGCAGUAAAAAAAAUGGAAGGCUGAGACCGCUGGGUGACUAACUGCAACCUACCGUUGGAAAAGAAAAACGAUCAGAAACACAGAAAUUUAUAAUUUUAUCAACAAAAAAAAAAUGGGAAAGGAAAUAAAUAUUACAAUGAAAGGAGGCACAUGGGUGUCUGCAUAGAAAAGGAAAAGGAAAUUUGUCUGAAAGUGUCACAGGUACACUCUUUCGAAUUACAUUUGACAACAAUCCAAAUGCUCUUCU